rnacentral:rRNA from 1 species
GACGAACGCUGGCGGCGUGCUUAACACAUGCAAGUCGAAAGAAGUGGCGAACUGGUGAGUAACGCGUAAUCAACCUGCCCUUCAGAGGGGGACAACAGUUGGAAACGACUGCUAAUACCGCAUACUGAAGGAGGGGAUUGCGGCUGAUUAGGAAGUUGGGGGGGUAACGGCCCACCAAGGCGAUGAUCAGUAACCGGUCUGAGAGGAGGAACGGACACAUUGGGACUGAGACAAGGCCCAGACUCCUACGGGAGGCAGCAGGGGGGAAUCGUCCGCAAUGGACGAAAGUCGGACGGAGAAACGCCGGGUGAGUGAUGACGGCCUUCGGGUUGUAAAGCUCUGUUAAUCGGGACGCGGUACCGGAAUAGAAAGCCACGGCUAACUACGUGCCAGCAGCCGCGGUAAUUC